rnacentral:rRNA from 1 species
ACCCGCUGAACUUAAGCAUAUCAAUAAGCGGAGGAAAAGAAACCAACAGGGAUUGCCUCAGUAACGGCGAGUGAAGCGGCAACAGCUCAAAUUUGAAACCUGCCUCCCGGCCGGAUUGUAAUUUGCAGAGGAUGCUUUGGGAAGGGCACUGAUCUAAGUUUCUUGGAACAGAACGUCACAGAGGGUGAGAAUCCCGUCCGUGGUCGGCCGCCUGCCCCGUGUAAAGCUCCUUCAACGAGUCGAGUUGUUUGGGAAUGCAGCUCUAAAUGGGUGGUAAAUUUCAUCUAAAGCUAAAUAUUGGCCAGAGACCGAUAGCGCACAAGUAGAGUGAUCGAAAGAUGAAAAGCACUUUGGAAAGAGAGUUAAACAGCACGUGAAAUUGUUGAAAGGGAAGCGCUUGCAACCAGACUUGCGCGCAGAUACUCAGGAACGGUUCGCCGCUCUGUAUUUGUCUGCGCGCAGGCCAGCAUCAGUUUUGGGGGUGGGAUAAAGGCCGUUGGAAUGUAGCUCCUCGGAGUGUUAUAGCCUUCGGUGCCAUGCCACCUCCCGGGACUGAGGACCGCGCUUCGGCUAGGAUGCUGGCGUAAUGGUUGUAAGCGACCCGUCUUGAAACACGGACCAAGGAGUCUAACAUCUAUGCGAGUGUUUGGGUGUCAAACCCACACGCGGAAUGAAAGUGAACGGAGGUGAGAGCCCUUAAGGGUGCAUCAUCGACCGAUCCUGAUGUCUUCGGAUGGAUUUGAGUAUGAGCAUAGCUGUUGGGACCCGAAAGAUGGUGAACUAUGCCUGAAUAGGGUGAAGCCAGAGGAAACUCUGGUGGAGGCUCGCAGCGGUUCUGACGUGCAAAUCGAUCGUCAAAUUUGGGUAUAGGGGCGAAAGACUAAUCGAACCAUCUAGUAGCUGGUUCCUGCCGAAGU